AGCGGUGCCCUGUAACCUGCAAUCCGCUCUAGCAGGAUUUAAUUCCCUUGUUAAGAGGGUACCCGGAUUUUCUGAAGCGGUUUUCUUUAGCUGUGAAGGCUGGGUCUCAUGGAAGGCAUGUUUGUGAACCCCGUCAGAUUUGGAAGAAAGCAGCGGUAAACAAAAAUUUGCUUGUGCUAUGGGAGUGCCUGGCUGGAGCGAUGGAGCUGGUGGAUGAAUUUUUGGGGAGCCUCGAGGCGGGGUGCACGG
rnacentral:SRP_RNA from 1 species